UGAAUAGGGGAGCUUAUGAAUAGGCUGAGAGGAAGUUUUUAACUUCGACCCAUAACCUGAUUUGGAUAAUGCCAACGUAGGGAUAUAUCA
rnacentral:ncRNA from 1 species